GCUCGCAGACCGCCAGCCAAUGAGAAGCUGCCAAGUGGCAGCUUCUCAUUAGCUGGCGGUCCAGGAGCCGUGAAUGACGCACAGCCGGCGCCAGGUUCAAAGUGCCGUCUCUCCCCCCCUCCGCCGCUGCCACAGCCGCCAGAGUGUGACUGAGCCGCGGGUUGUAACGCCCGAUCCCACCCCCCCACCCCCCGCAGCCGCCGGAGUUAACUGUUAACUGACGCUGAGCAGCGGCCAGUAAUGCCCAUGCCCACUCCCCAUCUCCCUGCCAGCGCAGCAGCUUAAAUUCCACCCUACCCCUAAGCUUAGUGACCCGCGGCCUGUAAUGCCCUCCCCACCUCCACCGGAGCACUGUCUGCAAGUGAAUGAUGGUCCGAGGCCCUAUCCUAACCGUGGCACACCCCUGGGCGUCUGGCAGGAGAGUCAACUCGCCCUCCACAUGAAGACCUCCAGACAAGUACAAGUUAGCGUCUCCGGAAUCCUGAGCUACAGACAAGUACAAGUUAGCGUCUCCGGAAUCCUCAGCUACAGGCAUCUUCUGAUCUCAAACAUGAAUAGUGAAUUUUGACUGAAGACAAUGUUUACCCAGUGAGGAUCAACUUAAGAUGUUCCCUAUUACAGAGAUGCCAUUAUAUAGAAAACAGUAUUGAAGAAACAGUAUAUAGAGAAAUAUAUAACCAAAGCAGAGAGUCCCGGGGACAGACAACCCGGGGAGUAGAAGAAGCAGAUGAGAGGAAAAGAAAAGAAUAGUAAAAAGUAGAAGAGAAAAGACAGAAGUGAAAAGAGAGAAGGUCAAAGAUCAUAUUGUAUCAUUUGAUGAAACAAAAUCUCUGGAAAAACCUAGAACAGUCAAGGAGAAAUAAGCAUCCAGGAGCCCAGUGAGAAACAAAUUAAGCUAAGGCAGAGCACGUCAUAGCAUAUACCAGGAGGUGUUUUCAAAGACAUGCAUUAUAGAAUCUGAUUGUGAUUUUGGCAAAAAAUCUAAAUAAA